rnacentral:rRNA from 1 species
UACGUAGGGCGCAAGCGUUAUCCGGAAUUAUUGGGCGUAAAGAGCUCGUAGGCGGUCUGUUGCGUCCGCUGUGAAAACUCGGGGCUUAACCCCGAGCCUGCAGUGGAUACGGGCAGACUAGAGGUAGGUAGGGGAGAAUGGAAUUCCCGGUGUAGCGGUGAAAUGCGCAGAUAUCGGGAGGAACACCGGUGGCGAAGGCGGUUCUCUGGGCCUUAACUGACGCUGAGGAGCGAAAGCAUGGGGAGCGAACAGG